rnacentral:rRNA from 1 species
AUACGGAGGGUGCAAGCGUUACUCGGAAUCACGGGGCGUAAAGCGCGCGCAGGCGGUCUUUUAAGUUGGAUGUGAAAGCCUACGGCUCAACCGUAGAACUGCAUCCAAAACUAUUAGACUAGAGUGUGGGAGAGGAAGAUGGAAUUAGUUGUGUAGGGGUAAAAUCCGUAGAGAUAACUAGGAAUACCAAAAGCGAAGGCAAUCUUCUGGAACACUACUGACGCUGAGGCGCGAAAGCGUGGGGAGCAAACAGGAUUAGAAACCCGAGUAGUCC